CCUAAUCUUCUCGAACUCGUUCUCUCUCUCUCUCUCACACUCUCUCGAACCCUAGCCUCCAAUCCCUAAUUGAAGAUCAAGGCUUCCUGAACGCGAGGCACAGAUUAAAUUUCAUCUUUGUUUUCACGAUUUCCCUCAAAACAAAACCCAGAUCCUCUUCCCUGCCAUAAUUUUUCUUCGCCUUUAUUCGUCUUCAUCAUAGCUUCUGCCACCGCAGUUCCUCUUGUCGCCACCAUAUCUCUUCCUCAACGAAGAUGAAAAUGAUGAUUACUAAAUUAUAAAUGAAGCAUAUGUGUGAUCCAUUCAGCAUCAGUUCCUUCAAUCUGAGCAAACAAAGAGUUCAGCGUAUGUAUACAUCUAACCCCAUCUUUCACAAAUGGACAGAACAUAUUGAGAUUGAUUGUCAAUGGUAUUCUGGGUUUGUGAACUUUUUGUUAAUCUUUCACUUAAUAAUUAAACUUGUAGCUAUUGCGGUAUACAUUUAAUGAUACUAUAGUAAUAUACAUUUUAUAUGCAUCAUGGUUUUAAGUGUAUGAUACACUUAAAACUGAUACUAGUAGUAUACAUUUUAUAUGCUGGCCUUUUCUUUUCUUUGCUUACAAAGGUGAUUGUACCUGA